GGAGACACUCUCUGUGUUACCAAUUGUCCAUGCUUGGGCUGUCAUUUUUAACUUGCAGUUCGUGGGCCAGCCGUGAUCGGUCCCAAAAGCCCCCAUGAAGUGGGAUGGGAGAGGGUUAGAGUGGUUAGUUCCCUCUCUUCGUUCGAAACUUUUUCUUAUCUUCGCAAGAUCUUCUCACUGAGUCCCCAACACGAAACCCUUACAUUUCUAUUUCUUCGGUGCUGGAGCUUGACAGCAGCCCACGUACCGGUUCCCGAGGUGGUACAAGCGCGGCGGCAGCGAUAGAAGAGGAGAGUCGGUGUAUACCCUCCGAUGAGUAGGGUGAGAUGAAAUUAAUGGAGAUCGAAAUUUCAUGUAGUUAAGGUCAACGUGAUUCAUAACAUCAGCAUUGAUUGAGAGUUGUAGAACUCAGAAUAAUUGAGACAAACUACUGAUGCCCUUGAUUAUUCUCUGUACCCAGCAGCUACAUUAUGCUUUGGUAGUGUGUACCAACUUCUUAUGCUCCCAAGCUUGGCCUAGAUAGCUAUCUAUCAACAGAGCAAAGUUUCUGGCCUAUUCUACAUACCAUGGGGACCAGAGGAGUAAUUGGGGACAAGUGGUCCAUGAGAAUUCUUUGGGCUUGUGCUAUUGGAAGUGCUGUCGGCCUGUAUAUGGUUGCUGUAGAAAGGCAAACA